rnacentral:rRNA from 8 species
CCUGGCGGCGAUAGCGCGGUGGUCCCACCUGACCCCAUGCCGAACUCAGAAGUGAAACGCCGUAGCGCCGAUGGUAGUGUGGGGUCUCCCCAUGUGAGAGUAGGGAACUGCCAGGU